UACGAAGGGGGCUAGCGUUGCUCGGAAUUACUGGGCGUAAAGCGCACGUAGGCGGAUUGUUAAGUCGGGUGGUGAAAAGCCCCGGGCUCAACCUGGGAAUUGCAUUCGAGACUGAAUAGCUAGGGUACGGUAGAGGGAAGUGGAAUUUCCGGUGUAGCGGUGAAAUGCGUAGAGUAUCGGAAGGAACAUCAGUGGCGAAGGCGACUCACU
rnacentral:rRNA from 1 species